rnacentral:rRNA from 1 species
CACGUAGGGUGCGAGCGUUGUCCGGAAUUAUUGGGCGUAAAGAGCUCGUGGGCGGUGUGUCGCGUCGGCCGUGAAAACCUGCAGCUUAACUGUGGGCUUGCGGUCGAUACGGGCAUCACUGGAGUUCGGCAGGGGAGACUGGAAUUCCUGGUGUAGCGGUGAAAUGCGCAGAUAUCAGGAGGGAACACCGGUGGCGAAGGCGGGUCUCUGGGCCGAUACUGACGC